GAGUUUGAUCGUGGCUCAGGAUGAACGCUGGCGGCGUGCCUAAUACAUGCAAGUCGAGCGAACAGACGAGGAGCUUGCUCCUCUGACGUUAGCGGCGGACGGGUGAGUAACACGUGGAUAACCUACCUAUAAGACUGGGAUAACUUCGGGAAACCGGAGCUAAUACCGAAUAAUAUAUUGAACCGCAUGGUUCAAUAGUGAAAAACGGUUUUGCUGUCACUUAUAGAUGGAUCCGCGCCGCAUUAGCUAGUUGGUAGGGUAACGGCUUACCAAGGCGACGAUGCGUAGCCGACCUGAGAGGGUGAUCGGCCACACUGGAACUGAGACACGGUCCAGACUCCUACGGGAGGCAGCAGUAGGGAAUCUUCCGCAAUGGGCGAAAGCCUGACGGAGCAACGCCGCGUGAGUGAUGAAGGUCUUCGGAUCGUAAAACUCUGUUAUUAGGAAGAACAAAUGUGUAAGUAACUAUGCACGUCUUGACGGUACCUAAUCAGAAAGCCACGGCUAACUACGUGCCAGCAC
rnacentral:rRNA from 1 species